GUUUGGGUAGUUUAAAUAAAAUUUUAGUUUGUGGUGCUGAGGAUGCAAGUAGCCCCAAACU
rnacentral:tRNA from 1 species